GCAACUCUGGAGAAUCAACAGGACACAAUCAGAAGAAAAGAGCUUCACACCUUUCACAUCUCUUUAGAGACACGCCCCCAAAGGAGUGAAACAGUCUUCAGGUUCUCGUUGAUCAGUGUGCUGAACCGUGUGGGACACAGCAUAAACUUCGGACACUACCUGAGUGACUGCUCCAACCAGUCAGAUUCAUGCUGGCUGUCUUGUGAC